rnacentral:rRNA from 1 species
CCUUAGAGUUUGAUCCUGGCUCAGGAUGAACGCUGGCGGCGUGCCUAACACAUGCAAGUCGAGCGAAGCACAUGAAUACUAUUCUUCGGAUGAGGAUUCUUGUGACUGAGCGGCGGACGGGUGAGUAACGCGUGGGCAACCUGCCUUACACGGGGGGAUAACAGUUAGAAAUGACUGCUAAUACCGCAUAAGACCACAAAACCGCAUGGUUUGGUGGUAAAAACUCCGGUGGUGUAAGAUGGGCCCGCGUCUGAUUAGGUAGUUGGUGGGGUAACGGCCUACCAAGCCGACGAUCAGUAGCCGACCUGAGAGGGUGACCGGCCACAUUGGGACUGAGACACGGCCCACACUCCUACGGGAGGCAGCAGUGGGGAAUAUUGCACAGUGGGGGAAACCCUGAUGCAGCGACGCCGCGUGAGCGAUGAAGUAUUUCGGUAUGUAAAGCUCUAUCAGCAGGGAAGAGAAUGACGGUACCUGACUAAGACGCCCCGGCUAACUACGUGCCAGCAGCCGCGGUAAUACGUAGGGGGCAAGCGUUAUCCGGAUUUACUAGGUGUAAAGGGAGCGUAGACUGCUUGGCAAGCCAGAUGUGAAAGGGCUGGCGCCUCCACCCCCAGGACUUGUAUUUGGAUCUGUCAUGCUAGAGUGUCAGAGAGGCAUGCGUAAUUCCCUUAGUGUUAGCGGUGAAAUGCGUAGAUAUGAGGACGAAACCCC